rnacentral:tRNA from 2 species
GCGAAGGUGGCGGAAUUGGUAGACGCGCUAGCUUCAGGUGUUAGUGUCCUUAGGAUGUGGGGGUUCAAGUCCCCCCCCUCGCACCA